rnacentral:lncRNA from 1 species
UUCUCUCCUGUGGGUUCUGACCACGUCCUGGUCUUAUUCUCCCCCAGGGAGUGACAGUGCCCAGGGCUCUGAUGUGUCUCUCACGGUUCCUAAAGUGUGAGACACCUGCCUUAUGGGGACUGAGUGAUGCUUCAUCCCGCUAUGUGACAUUAGAUCCCUGGACCGCUCUUUCUGCAGCUGCAUCUGAAUGCGUCUGUGCUCCUAUUCCCAUAACGUAGGAGUUAGGGAGACUGGCCCACCCAUGCCCACUGCUGCCCUUCCCCACUGCCGUCCCUCCCGACCCUGACCUGUGUUCUCUUCCCUGAUCCACUGUCCUGUUCCAGCAGAAACGAGGCUGGACCAUGUCUAUCCCUGUCUUUGCUUUAUAUACACUGAAUAAUGAUAUCUUAUUUCCUUAUUGAAAAUAAAAUCUGUAUAUAUGAAUUAGUUUUUUCUAAU